GGGAAAAGUAUAUGGGAAGACAAUAAGGAGAGAAAGGAGAAUAAGAUCUAAAUUAAAUAUUUGUCCUUUUUCCAAAGGUUCACUAAUUGUCCUGCCAGUGUCCUAAAAUUUAGAGUGAAUAAAUGUCAGAGUUUAAAUAAUUACCCAAUGGUUGGUAACCUCAAAGAUGAGACAGAUGAAAUGGCUAUGACACAAAUAGAUGAGGUAAUUUAUGCAGUGGCACACAGCUGGCGAGUGGAAGAGCAGAAUUCAAGCUCACACAGUCUGGAAUCAAAGGCUUUAUUCUCAACCACUGGGCUACGCUGCCUCCAUUUUUAUGUUAGCAAUCCAGGCAGCAACUUCCUUCUCAUCCAACCUUGACCUUUUGUUUUGUUGGACUCAGUCCCAGAUCUCUGGGACCUGAUGCUGGGACCUGAUGCUGGACUUUGCAGAAUCAUGGAUCAAAUCCAAAUGCUGCAGUACAUAAAGGUUCUGUCUUCUUAAAAAAAAUCCAAAUUCUUGUAGCUCUUUUACAGAAUGCAAUAUAUGUCCAAAAGUUUAUAAUAAGAUUAUCAAAUGUGAUGUUCUAAAAAUCAAAACUCAUGUGCUUAUAAAAAUGAUUUGCUACAUUAUUACACGCUGCUCUUAAGUCUAACAUUCUCUCCAGAAGUUCCCACAGUUAUAAUUUCAAGCCAGUGAAAGUAAUUAAGACAGGAAAAGGGAGAAUCCUUAACUUACUUUCAGCAGAUUUAGAUUUUCUUCCUGUAAUACUCUUUAUGCAGCCCUCCCUGCUGUUGCAAACUCUUAGAUCUACCCCCAAACAUGUUAUUUACAAAGUCUUAAAGUCUCACAGAUAUUUGCAUUUGUUUUGUAAUGUACUAAACAAGUCAUCAUAAUGCUUUAAAAAGAAUUGAAGAAGACACAGCUGGAUCCUUUCUGUACUGUGAGACUGACUCUUCUCAAGAUUUAAGACUGUCUUCCCACAAACCUUCGAAGUAGAUCUAUUGGACUGCUACCUGAAGGAUCUCCUGGAAAUAGGCAUAUCUUUAAAGCUGAUGCCCAUUGCAUCCUCUUCAUUCUGCAUUACAAAUUUUAUAAUGCCCAGUUUGAUUAAAGGAGUGUCUUUAGGCUAUUUGUUAGGGUCCAACUACAACCUUUGAAUAGAGAUUAGGCUGGGCAGCUUGCAAAUCUUGCACAAAAAGUAAAUCUACUCUUUGCUUUGAGACUUGGGGAGUGUCAAGAGUAAUUGGAAUGUUUUCUUCAUGUGCCCCUGCCCUAAAGAUUACAUCUUUUCCUUCAAGAUUUAGCAAGAGGCACUGAGUGAGAAUUGUAAUCAAUAUCAUUAGCUAAACAUACUACACCCAAAAGACAAACAGCUGCUGGAUUACUGCGCUACUACUCACCAUCUUAGAGUCCUCAUUCAUAUAGUGCUCUAAACCUGGAGAAAUUCACAUACCGACUCAUACAUCACCCAAAAGAAUUCUGAAAAUAUAGCUGUGAAUUGUGGAAAUUCACAGCCAUAUGGCCAGAAUAGGCCUGGAAACAACUAGGUGUUCUUGAUUUUUUAUUUCAAGAUUCUUUUUUGGUCUAAAUAUGUAAGCUCCAGCCAAGAGAUACACCUGAACUAUCCAUACCUUGCUGUGAGUUUUUGGUGUGUUCAGAAACCAGCAUGCAAAUGUCAUUGGAGAUACUGUAAGAGAAAAGGAUGUGAGGUGUCCCCUUGAGAGAUUUUUAAUGGAACUAGUCUGAGGCUAGUUUCACACAAAUAUCUCCUGGGGACUGGAGGCAGGGAAAUGACUAGCUCAGCAUCAAGCCUGUAGACCGAGGAUAUGCAGGGAGAAUGGAUGGGGAGACCCAUCCAAGAGGGUUGUUUCAGGAGCUAGGUCAUUCCACGGUUCCAAUCUUCCUUCACGUGUCAUACUCCUUCCUUCCAAGGUUUGGUGUCUGCCCUGCAAAAUACCCAAUAAUCGAAAAGCACAGUAUGAUUUAUGGCAUUAGUAGUUCCUUAAAGCUGCUUAUGGAAGUGUCUUCAGUCCAUAAAGUUGGAGAAAAGAGAAUGAGAAACACAGGGCAUAAAUUGUAUCUUCAGAAUACUUCAUCAGCUGGCUAGUUAAGUAUAAUAGUCCAUUAGUAGCAAGAUAAGGCUCAGUUAAAACUGUAAAUUAAAAUUUAGAUGUCUCUUUCCCUCUGCCUGUAAAAAAGCAAUUUUGCUGCAACCUCAACACCAGGUGAACCACUAGACCACUUAAAUAACAGGUACUAAAUCAAAAUUUCACUCUGGAAAUUGGGAACUCAAAUCUAUUUUGCAUGCUUUGUAAAGUCACCCACCAUUCCAGGACAUCUUAAACAGGCAGUUAUUUUGUUACAGCCUUUUCCUGGUAGUGAGGAGAAAAGUUGGAUGGGAUGAGGCAGAGGUUGGAAAAGUUGUAAGUAGAGUAUUUUUAAUACCACAAUAUAAAUAAUGAAUUAGGUAGGGCAGUGAUUCCAUGGAUGCUAAAAAAUGUUCUUAUAUCCAACCCCUUUGUUUUGAGAGGAUUCAAUCCCAUUUUAAAUGGCAUUCUUUAGAUUUGCCAUUUAGUCAUGCUAAAACCAAAAAUGCUCAGAAAAUAAAAACCCAAAACACUGAGAGUUGAACACAUUGACACAUUUCCAAGGGUGUAAAAUGAAACAACUGCAUGGAGGCAAAAGUUUGCCUAGAUAAGAAUCAGUAUGAAACAACUUUGAGGGAGUAGAGAGAAUCGUCUGCCUAUGAUAUCAACCCUGGAAAUGAGCCUGUAACCAUCUCAUUAGUAAGCUUCGUGCCCCGGCUUCACACACACUGAGAUCCAACUCAGCAGCUACCAGAACUGACCCAGCUGCCCUACAGGAAAGUAUGCAACUUUCCGUUUCUAAGUAGGUCCACCAAGAGAGCAAGAAGGGUCUUUGACCGAAAGAACUGGGUCACAGGAUGGGAGCGGCACCAUUGCCUUUAACAUCAUAAACUCUUGAGUUUUAAGGAGACACGGUUCCCAUAGGCCUAAGAGAGUUUCUUAAAUGUGACCUACAUUCAAACAUAAUUAUCUUUCUUUCCCAAUUGGCAAACAUUUACUGUAUAAUCUUGUCGUAAAAUCCCACAAUUAAUAAUUUUUAAUGUAACAAGCCACAUUCUCUGACCUAAAAUGUAGUGCGAUACAUAACAGUAGAAAACAAUUAAAAUAGUCUGACUAUACCUUAGUCCUGCCCCUAAGAUUUUUGGAACUACAGCUUUUCCUUUAGAUGAAAUGACUUACUUAAUCAGUUGAAGUUACCUGUAGCCUUCUUUGGGAGGAGUAUUUAGAAAUGUUGUAUCCUUACUAAAUAUUCAGGACUAGUUUUAAAUAUUGUUUAAAAAGCACAAUGAAGACUUGAACUAAAGCAUUACACACGAAGCCCUUUGAAAGUAGGAAUUUAUUCUUUAGAAGAUUAUUUAUGCUG
rnacentral:lncRNA from 1 species